rnacentral:rRNA from 1 species
UACAGAGGGUGCAAGCGUUGUUCGGAAUUACUGGGCGUAAAGCGUGCGCAGGCGGUGAUGUAAGACAGAUGUGAAAUCCCCCGGGCUCAACCUGGGAACUGCAUUUGUGACUGCAUCGCUGGAGUGCGGCAGAGGGGGAUGGAAUUCCGCGUGUAGCAGUGAAAUGCGUAGAUAUGCGGAGGAACACCGAUGGCGAAGGCAAUCCCCUGGGCCUGCACUGACGCUCAUGCACGAAAGCGUGGGGAGCAAACAGG